rnacentral:tRNA from 2 species
GACCUGAUAGCUCAGAUGGUAGAGCAUUACACUUUUAAUGUAAGGGUCCUGGGUUCGAAUCCCAGUCAGGUCA